GAGGACCCAGUCCCAGCGCCCCUGCCCCACCGGCAGCCGCGCCUCCCCGGGGAGCCAAGCCCCAGCUCGGCCCACAGCACCCACUGCCUGGCCUGCCCGGGUCCGGCCGCGCCAGCGUCGGGGCCUCCUCCCUACCGAGACCCUCCGCAGGAAACAGCCUCUUCCACGGAUCCUCCGCUGCGUUCUGCUCUCAUCCAGCUCUUCCUUUCCCCCCUGCCACUUAAACUCAAGCAACCUCUUGCCAUCUACGCCCUUCUGUCCUCUGGAAGCACGAAUCAUGUCCUGUUCUCUAAAGGCAAAUCAAUGGCUUCCUCAUUGCCGCCGGAUUCCACCCAUCCCUCUCUCCCUUCUGAGUUUUGAAACACAUGCACGGAGCUAAAAGAGGGGCACUUGACCGACCCACCCCGUGGUCCCUUGAUCGUGCCCACAGGGUCCUCAAGAAGGAUGCUUCUCCUACAUCUUCGCAUUCAAAGGUGGUAUCUCUGCCUCCUCUCUAAAAGCCCCGUUGUCCCAAGAAACCUGGGUUAGAGCAACCAGAGAUCCUCAAAGGCACUCAUUUCUUUCAGCUUCAUUUUGCAAGGACGGGAACUGAGCACGGGAAGAAGAAAUGCUUCGCCCAGCUUAAUGUCUUUCUCUUAAAACAUUUUUAAAAACUUAAAAUUGGCUUGUGUGUGUUAAAAUAUAAAUCUCUAGUCCCUUGGUUUAGAGGAGAAGCAUAUGGCUGGGGGGUGGGAAAUGGGUCUCUCUUCUUUUUAAAUCUGCCCUGAAUUGCCUCUGGAUUGUCCUCACCUGGAGGCUCAAGUGUAGGUGGGCAAGGUCAUCGGAGGGGUCGGAGGUCAUCGGAGAGCACAGAUUUUACUUGCACACAGUCGUUCGGGGAGUCCUGCGUCUGCAUCAGCAGAAUAUAGGGUUCUGUACGGAGACGAUUCCCUUCAAGCUGUGGCUACAGAUGGAAACACAGCAAGGGCUGGGGCAGGCAGGGCUUUCUCAUCGCCGGUGAGGGUCUCACACCAAGGGUGGUUGAGCACGUCCAAGCAGACACCCCGUU
rnacentral:lncRNA from 12 species